GACGAACGCUGGCGGCGUGCUUAACACAUGCAAGUCGAACGGAAAGGCCCUGCUUUUGUGGGGUGCUCGAGUGGCGAACGGGUGAGUAACACGUGAGUAACCUGCCCUUGACUUUGGGAUAACUUCAGGAAACUGGGGCUAAUACCGGAUAGGAGCUCCUGCUGCAUGGUGGGGGUUGGAAAGUUUCGGCGGUUGGGGAUGGACUCGCGGCUUAUCAGCUUGUUGGUGGGGUAGUGGCUUACCAAGGCUUUGACGGGUAGCCGGCCUGAGAGGGUGACCGGCAACAUUGGGACUGAGAUACGGCCCAGACUCCUACGGGAGGCAGCAGUGGGGAACAUUGCACAAUGGGCGGAAGCCUGAUGCAGCAACGCCGCGUGCGGGAUGACGGCCUUCGGGUUGUAAACCGCUUUCGCCUGUGACGAAGCGUGAGUGACGGUAAUGGGUAAAGAAGCACCGGCUAACUACGUG
rnacentral:rRNA from 1 species